rnacentral:rRNA from 1 species
AACGAACGCUGGCGGCAGGCUUAACACAUGCAAGUCGAACGCUCCGCAAGGGGAGUGGCAGACGGGUGAGUAACGCGUGGGAAUCUACCGUACCCUACGGAACAACAGUUGGAAACGACUGCUAAUACCGUAUACGCUCUACGGGGGAAAGAAUUAUCGGGGUAUGAUGAGCCCGCGUGGGAUUAGCUAGUUGGUGGGGUAAAGGCCUACCAAGGCGACGAUCCAUAGCUGGUCUGAGAGGAUGAUCAGCCACAUUGGGACUGAGACACGGCCCAAACUCCGACGGGAGGAAGCAGUGGGGAAGAUGGGAUAAGGGGCGCAAGCCUGAUCCAGCCAUGCCGCGUGAGUGAUGAAGGUCUUAGGAUUGUAAAGCUCUUUCACCGAUGAAGAUGAUGACGUUACCCGUAGAAUAAGCCCCGGCUAACUUCGUGCCAGCCGCCGCAGUAA